UACGAAGGGUGCUAGCGUUACUCGGAAUCACUGGGCGUAAAGCGUGCGUAGGCGGAAAUAUAAGUCAGAGGUGAAAUCCCGGAGCUCAACUUCGGAAUUGCCUUUGAAACUGUAUUUCUUGAGUAUGGUAGAGGAUGGUGGAAUUCCUAGUGUAGAGGUGAAAUUCGUAGAUAUUAGGAGGAACACCGGUGGCGAAGGCGGCCAUCUGGGCCAUCACUGACGCUGAGGCACGAAAGCGUGGGUAGCAAACAGG
rnacentral:rRNA from 1 species